GAUGAACGCUAGCGGGAGGCCUAACACAUGCAAGCCGAGCGGUAUUGUUUCUUCGGAAAUGAGAGAGCGGCGUACGGGUGCGUAACACGUGUGCAACCUGCCUUUAUCUGGGGGAUAGCCUUUCGAAAGGAAGAUUAAUACUCCACAAUAUAUUGAACGGCAUCGUUUAAUAUUGAAAGCUCCGGCGGAUAGAGAUGGGCACGCGCAAGAUUAGCUAGUUGGUGAGGUAACGGCUCACCAAGGCGAUGAUCUUUAGGGGGCCUGAGAGGGUGAUCCCCCACACUGGUACUGAGACACGGACCAGACUCCUACGGGAGGCAGCAGUGAGGAAUAUUGGUCAAUGGGUGCAAGCCUGAACCAGCCAUCCCGCGUGAAGGACGACUGCCCUAUGGGUUGUAAACUUCUUUUGUAUAGGGAUAAACCUACCCUCGAGAGGGUAGCUGAAGGUACUAUACGAAUAAGCACCGGCUAACUCCGUG
rnacentral:rRNA from 1 species